rnacentral:rRNA from 1 species
GACGAACGCUGGCGGCGUGCUUAACACAUGCAAGUCGAACGGAAAGGCCCUGCUUUUGUGGGGUGCUCGAGUGGCGAACGGGUGAGUAACACGUGAGUAACCUGCCCUUGACUUUGGGAUAACUUCAGGAAACUGGGGCUAAUACCGGAUAGGAGCUCCUGCUGCAUGGUGGGGGGUGGAAAGUUUCGGCGGUUGGGGAUGGACUCGCGGCUUAUCAGCUUGUUGGUGGGGUAGUGGCUUACCAAGGCUUUGACGGGUAGCCGGCCUGAGAGGGUGACCGGCGACAUUGGGACUGAGAGACGGCCCAGACUCCUACGGGAGGCAGCAGUGGGGAAUAUUGCACAAUGGGCGGAAGCCUGAUGCAGCAACGCCGCGUGCGGGAUGACGGCCUUCGGGUUGUAAACCGCUUUCGCCUGUGACGAAGCGUGAGUGACGGUAAUGGGUAAAGAAGCACCGGCUAACUACGUG